rnacentral:tRNA from 1 species
GGAUUGUGGCUCAGUGGUAGAGCGCUUGCCUAGCCUGUGUGAGGCACUGGGUUCUAUUCUCAGCACCG